rnacentral:ncRNA from 1 species
UUACAAACUAUGAUGAGAAGAAGUAGUUAAGAUGUUCACUUACAGAGAUUAGCCGGUCGGUGAGAGGCGAAAGAAAGAGUCUUAAUGAAUACAUCUCGGAGUUUCACACUGAAAGCGUUAAGCAAUUAGGCUGUGACGGCAGACUUCCGUUAAAGGGUCAGGGUAUAGAAGUUUUGUACCCGGUUGAGGCAGAUAUAAUCUGUGAAUUAAGGUGGUAACACGAAGCUUAACGCUCUCGUCCUUUGA